rnacentral:misc_RNA from 1 species
UGAUGAUAUGCUGUCCAAGGAGUAG